GACGAACGCUGGCGGCGUGCUUAACACAUGCAAGUCGAACGGAAAGGCCCUGCUUUUUUGGGGUUCUCGAGUGCCGAACGGGUGAGUAACACGUGUGUAACCUGCUCUUGAUUUUGGGAUGACUUCAGGAAACUGGAGCUAAUAUCCUAUAGGAGCUCCUCCUGCAUGGUGGGGGUUGGAAAGUUUCGGCGGUUGGGGCUGGAUUCGCGGCUUAUCAGCUUGUUGGUUGGGUAGUGGCUUACCAAGGGUUUGAAGGGUAGCCGGCCUGAGAGGGUGACCGGGCACAUUGGGACUGAGAUAGGGACCAGACUCGUACGGGAGGCAGCAGUGGGGAAUAUUGCACAAUGGGCCGAAGCCUGAUACAGCAACGCCGCGUUCGGGAUGACGGCUUUCUGGUUGUAAAACGCUUUCGCCUGAGACGAAGCGUGUGUGACGGUAAUGGGAAAAGAAGCACCGGCUAACUUCGUG
rnacentral:rRNA from 1 species